rnacentral:lncRNA from 1 species
GCGUUUCUGUCCUGGAGCGUCCUGGCCCAGCGGCACCUUCCUCUUUCUGCUUGGGAUGCGGCCAGUGCGCUGCUCGUGCCCUCUGCUCUUGCCUUUCCUGGUGGUGCAUGCGGGCGUUGGGCACUCGGCCGGCUCGCUGCCGUCCCCGCGGUGGUUGUGGGGCACGUGGCAGGAGAUGCAGCCGGGUGGCAGUGCCAGGCGGGUGAGAAGCACCCGGGGCUGCCUCCGCUGCACCUCUUUGGUCAGAUGUGCACUGUGGGGCAACAGAGGUGCGGGGGCAGCCAGGGGGGUCGGCAGUGCCAGGCGGGUGAGAACCACCCGGGGCUGCCUCUGCCGCGCCUCUUCCAUCAGAUGCCCGCAGGGCAGCGGCUCAGAGAGCUGCCCAGAGGAUGCUGGCUGCCCCGAGAACGGCUCGCUGAGGGGCCUGGCGUCAGCCUGCGCCUCUCCACUGAGCUCCCUGCUGCUGCUGGGACGGUCACGGAGGGCUCUGGUGAAAGGAGAGGUGCUGAGCCUGCUGGGGACGGCUGGGAACGCCUGCUGGGGGACCUCCCGAGGACUCGACGCUUCUGCAAAACAAAGAACAUCCCCCAAAACCAGGACGGCAGCCUUCCCACAGCCACUCGGCGCGGACAUCCAUCCGCCACCGCUGCGGCCCCGGAACUCACCAACAAUCCAGCUGAGCAAACCGUCGAGUUCCAG